AUUACUUUCUCAGCGCCGAUGCGCAACAGCCACCUGACCGUGACCCUCUUCAGGUCACCGGAUAAAGAAGUGCCUAAUGUUGGAUCAGCUAAGAAAGAGCAAGGUCAGUGAGGAGAUGGACUAGAGACCAGCAGCAGAGUCCAGCAUGCAGGAUCUGCACAGCAAAAAAAGCUGAAUCAGGGAGGAGGUGGAUCAGAGGCCAGCAGCAGGCAGAAUGAUGCAGGGUCUUAUCAG